rnacentral:tRNA from 1 species
CCGGAAUAGCUCAGUUGGUAGAGCAGAGGACUGAAAAC